GCUUGCUGCUUUGAGACCGGCGCACGGGUACGUAACGCGUAUGCAAUCUACCUUGUACAGGGGGAUAGCCCAGAGAAAUUUGGAUUAAUACCCCAUGGUGUUUAAGAGUGGCAUCACUUUUUUACUAAAGUUCCAACGGUACAAGAUGAGCAUGCGUCCCAUUAGCUAGUUGGUAUGGUAACGGCAUACCAAGGCUAUGAUGGGUAGGGGUCCUGAGAGGGUGAUCCCCCACACUGGUACUGAGACACGGACCAGACUCCUACGGGAGGCAGCAGUGAGGAAUAUUGGUCAAUGGUCGCAAGACUGAACCAGCCAUGCCGCGUGCAGGAAGACGGUCCUAUGGAUUGUAAACUGCUUUUAUACAGGAAGAAACCCUCUCACGUGUGGGAGCUUGACGGUACUGUAUGAAUAAGCAUCGGCUAACUCCGUGCCAGCAGCCGCGGUAAUACGGAGGAUGCGAGCGUUAUCCGGAAUCAUUGGGUUUAAAGGGUCCGUAGGCGGUUUAAUAAGUCAGUGGUGAAAUCUGGUCGCUCAACGAUCAAACUGCCAUUGAUACUGUUAGACUUGAAUAAUUGUGAAGUAACUAGAAUAUGUAGUGUAGCGGUGAAAUGCUUAGAUAUUACAUGGAAUACCAAUUGCGAAGGCAGGUUACUAACAAUUUAUUGACGCUGAUGGACGAAAGCGCGGGGAGCGAACAGGAUUAGAUACCCUGGUAGUCCACGCCGUAAACGAUGGAUACCAGCUGUUCGGCGCAAGUUGAGUGGCUAAGCGAAAGUGAUAAGUAUCCCACCUGGGGAGUACGCACG
rnacentral:rRNA from 1 species